GAACAAGAAAAGAAAGAAAACUCGAUUCUCCAAGUAGCGGCGAGCGAACAGAGAACAGCCCAUUAAAGUAAGACUAAACUGAUAGACAAAUCUUAUGGAAAGAAGAACCAAAGAAAGUAACAGUCUUGUAGUCGAAAUCAGAAUAGAGACACUUUAAGAAGAGUACCACGGAGCACGUGAAAUUCUGUGGGAAGAUAGGGGGACCACCCCCUAAGGCUAAAUACUACCUGGUGACCGAUAGCGAAUAGUACCGUGAGGGAAAGGUGAAAAGAACCCCGGGAGGGGAGUGAAACAGAACCUGAAACCUUGCGCCUACAAGCAGACAGAGGAAGAAGACUUCUAAUGUCGUACUUUUUGUAGAACGGGCCAGCGAGUUACGAUACGUAGCAAGAUUAAACAUUUAAGAUGUGAAGUCGCAGGGAAACCGAGUCUUAAUAGGGCGAAAGUUGCGUGUUGUAGACCCGAAACCGGGUGAUCUAUCCAUGGGCAGAGUGAAGGUAAAGUAAAAUUUACUGGAGGCUCGAACCGGGUAGCGUUUAAAAGCUAUCGGAUGACCUGUGGAUAGGGGUGAAAAGCCAAUCGAACUCGGAUAUAGCUGGUUCUCCUCGAAAUAGCUUUAGGGCUAGCCUUGUUUUAGAUUACAGGAGGUAGAGCACUGAAUAGUCUAGGGGAAGUAAUUCUACCGAAACUUAUCAAACUCCGAAUGCCUGAAAAUCGAUGAACAGGAGUCAGACCAUGAGGGAUAAGCUUCAUAGUCAAAAGGGAAACAGCCCAGACCACCAGUUAAGGUCCCAAAAUACAGAUUAAGUGGGAAAGGAUGUAAUACUACUCAGACAACCAGGAUGUUGGCUCAGAAGCAGCCAUACAUUUAAAGAGUGCGUAAUAGCUCACUGGUCAAGUGGUAAUGCGCCGAAGAUGAACGGGGCUAAAUCUGAUACCGAAACUGUGGGAUAGAAAAGCAAUUAUGCGAGAAGUAUGAAGUAAGCAAUUGUGGAUUAUAUACAAGUGAGAAUGCUGGCAUGAGUAGCGAAAAGGGAUGUGAGAAUCAUCCCCGUCGAAAGCCCAAGGAUUCCUGAGCAAGGCUCGUCCUCUCAGGGUAAGUCGGGACCUAAGGCGAGGCCGAAAGGCGUAGUCGAUGGACAACAGGUAGAAAUUCCUGUACUACAAGAUUGUGAUUGAGAGAAGUACUGACGCAGAAGGAAAAGUCGAGCGUGUGAAUGGUAGAACACGUCCAAGUAACAAGCCAGAAUAUACAGGCAAAUCCGUAUAUUCGCUAACGUAAGUUAUCAUGGGGAGCAGAAAGAUGCGAAGCGACAGAUUCAAACUGCCAAGAAAAGGUGCUAUCGAAUAAUCUUGUACCCGUACCGCAAACCGACACAGGUAGGCAAGAAGAGAAUUCUAAGACGCGCGGAAGAACCUUUGUUAAGGAACUCGGCAAAAUAAUCCCGUAAGUUAGCGAGAAGGGAUGCCUAAGAAAUUAGGUCGCAGAGAAUAGGCCCAAGCGACUGUUUACCAAAAACACAAGUAUCUGCUAAAUCGAAAGAUGAAGUAUAGGUGCUGACACCUGCCCGGUGCUGGAAGGUCAAGGGGACUUGUUAGAGCAAUCGAAGCAACGAACUUAAGCCCCAGUAAACGGCGGCCGUAACUAUAACGGUCCUAAGGUAGCGAAAUUCCUUGUCGGGUAAGUUCCGACCCGCACGAAAGGUGUAACGA
rnacentral:rRNA from 1 species